AGAUGUGAGGGUGAUCUGGCUAUAACACCUGUUAUUCCAUUAAUUGUCAGGAUUGAUUUGGCUGAUCUGGCUGGCUAGACAGAGGUGUUCCCCCCCCCCUCUCUCUCUCUGUCUCUCUCUCUCUCUCUCACACACACACACACACACACACACACACACACACACACACAUCACUUCAUAUGCAUCCCUCCCAAAGCUUUCCUCAAUAGAGGAGUUUUGUUCUUCAGUCAAGGGCCACAUAGCUAGUAAAUGUCAAAGGCUGGAUUUGAACUCAAACCUUCCUGUCUCUAGACCAAGUGCCUUAUGUAAAUGUUAAAGAACUUCUUGAACCUUUGUAUAAUCAAAAUUGCUCAAUUAAUAU
rnacentral:snRNA from 1 species